rnacentral:rRNA from 1 species
AUUGAACGCUGGCGGCAGGCCUAACACAUGCAAGUCGAGCGGAUGAGUGGAGCUUGCUCCAUGAUUCAGCGGCGGACGGGUGCGUAAUGCCUAGGAAUCUGCCUGGUAGUGGGGGACAACGUUUCGAAAGGAACGCUAAUACCGCAUACGUCCUACGGGAGAAAGUGGGGGAUCUUCGGACCUCACGCUAUCAGAUGAGCCUAGGUCGGAUUGGCUAGUUGGUGAGGUAAAGGCCCACCAAGGCGACGAUCCGUAACUGGUCUGAGAGGAUGAUCAGUCACACUGGAACUGAGACACGGUCCAGACUCCUACGGGAGGCAGCAGUGGGGAAUAUUGGACAAUGGGCGAAAGCCUGAUCCAGCCAUGCCGCGUGUGUGAAGAAGGUCUUCGGAUUGUAAAGCACUUUAAGUUGGGAGGAAGGGCAGUAAGUUAAUACCUUGCUGUUUUGACGUUACCAACAGAAUAAGCACCGGCUAACUUCGUGCCAGCAGCCGCCGUAAAAC